GGAUUGAGCUCGAGCUAGCUCGAAUAAAGGCUCUUUUGCUUUUGCAUCGGACUCGGCUCCCUGGUGGUCUUUGGGGAUCACGAAUUCUGGGCAUAACACAAAGCCCACAUGUUUCAGCACCAUUUGUGCUGUUGGCCACACUGAGGAUUCCUUUCGGCCUCCCACUAACCCUGCAAGAACCUACUGAAAGAACUCCCACGGGAAAGAAUCAUCGGUUUACAGGCUCCAACUGGGAAAGCUACACAUUGCCUUUCCCACAAGAAAUCCACCACCCCAGCAACUCAGCCAAUGAGAAAAUGUCAUCCACCUGAAACCUUGCUUUUCUCCAAUGGUCUUUCCUUCAAAACAAUCCUUUCCAUUCCUUCUUAUCCAUAAAAUUAUUCCCUUGUUUGUAGGCCUUGCUUAUAAUUUUGUUGUCUGAAAUUGCAAUUCUAUGUUAGUCUUGAAUAAACCCAUUUUUGCUGGUAAAGUAACUAACUGUUUUAUUUUUAAGGUUAACACUAAUCUGUCCUUCCUUAACCUCAAAGGAAUUUCAGGACUGAAACAUCAGAUACUAUGAGAAUUAAAAUAAAACUAUUCAAUUUAUGGGGAUUCCAAUGGAAUUUGGUUAUGUGAAAAAAAGAUGAAAAUAGCCCCCCUCCUUCCACCCUACUCCCAUUCAUAGCAAAAUAUGGCUCCAAGUUAAAUAUGUCACUUAGAGAAUUUAUUUUCUUAGAACCCCUAAAGGGCCAUCAGUUGUAAGUAAUUAACAUAAUACAGUCGAUCCUUAUUAUUUGUAGAUUUCUUACUUGUAACUUCACCUGCUUACUAACAUUUAUUUGUAACCCCAGAUCAAUACUCCCUACGCUUUCCAGUUAUUCAGAGUAUGGCAAAGGAUUUGAAUCCUAAUGCAUGCAUUCCUAACUGGGGUAAAACAAGGCAACACUCUGCCUUUUAGCUUCAGCUUUCAUGCUAUAAACAAGUGUUCUUUUUACGAUCUAUUUAGUAUCCUGUUUCUUGACUAUUUGUACUUUUUGUUAGCAAUUUUGUUAGUUAGAAUGACCCUCAAGCAUUGUGUUGAAGUGUGGUCUGGUAUUGCUAUUACCAGAUGGAAAAGGAAAGAAGCCUCAGUUCUCUUGGCUGCCACAGUAAAGAAUUACAGGACAGCAAUAUGAAAGUAAAGCAGAGCAAAGUUUUAUUAAAAUACACUCCACAGGAGGAAUGGGACAGUCAAGAGAGACAAAAGCCUGAAAACUCUGGGGUGUGGGCUGAAAAUCAACUUUUUUUUUUUUGGUUUGUCCUAGGGUCACAACAUUUGAGUGACAGGCCUGAAUUAUAUAAUAAUUGGCCAACCACCAUGUCGUUUCCCAAAAUGUAUUCAAGAUACCUGCACAGGGUAGGAAUCAGCAACAUUAUUUCUAUUCUGGAGACAUAGUCAAAUAAGGACAAGCAGCUUGCUCUGGACAAGUGCCACAAGCACAACACACUUAACUCUUCCUCUGCCUGGACAAUGGAACCAAAGACACCCUGCUAGAGGGGUGGAAUGGGGUGGUCCCUGGGUGGUCUCGGAUGCGGCUCUCCAUGAGGAUGCCUAAGGCCCAUCCUCCUGUUGCUCAUGCCUAGCUUCCUGCCAUCCUGAAAGCCAGUGGCUGUGAAGAGCCUUAUGGAGAAAAUACAUGUGUCAGAUAAGUAUCAUAUUCAGGCAAGAGUUACAGUGCUGUUAGCCAAGGGUUUAACGUAAAUGAAUUAAAUAAGGUGUCUUUAAACAAGAAUUCCAUCGAAUAAAGUUCUAUAUUAGUUGACAAACAAGUGACCAGAGGCUUACUGUAUCUCUCCUAGAAGCAAUGGUUCAGCAUUCACUAAUACAUUGUUACAGGUGACUUCACACAACAUAAAUACUGGAAGAAUAGGAAGAAUCAAGAUAGACCACAUGCUGUGUGGCCUUUCUUUUGUAAACUGAUUUCUCUGCUUUGCAAAUUUCAAGGUAGCAGGAGUUUACUUACAUACCAGUUUGUUUGUGUGGGUGAGAGGGAGGCUUUAGAAAGAAGGGACAGACACAGAAACUAGGCAGAUUAGAAAUGUGCAAACCACCCCCAAAUAAUGCAAUAUUGUUCAUUUUGAUGCCUUAACAUCUGUUCUGAGAAACAACAGGAGGUAGACCCAUAGAAAAAGAGAAGAAAUUCUCAGUGCUGGACAUUUCUGGGAACAUUCUUUUGUAUACUCAGUUUUUACUCUAAAUGUAAUGUAAUGUAAUAUGUAAUGUAAUGUGAUAAUGUAAUGUAAAUGCUGAAUAUGCACAGAAAGCCAAGUUUCUUGCAAGAAAAUCAGGCUCAGAAUAAAAGCUGUGUUUCCCACCUGCCUGCUGUAAUGCUAUAUCAUAGGCACCAGCCCUGUAAGAAGCUCCCAGCGCCACCCCUGGCUUAAGAUGCAUUUAUAAAGCCCUCACUUGCACCUUCUGUCAGCCUAUCUUUUCAUUAGUGCCCACUUGUCUCAAUUCUCCCCCUUUUCACACUGUUCCAGAAAUGUAGUUUUGCUCUUGGCAGGAGCUCUAAAACCAACACUACUACCUACUCCCAUCCCCACCUUGUGACCUGCUGGUGUCCACAUCCUGGCCAGGCCACAGGCCUCAUACACACUAGAUUUUGUUGCAUGUGAUGUAAUAAACAAUGGCACACUGCAAUAACAGUUAUGCACUGAAUCUCUCUCCGUCUCUCUCUCUCUCUCUCUCUC